rnacentral:lncRNA from 1 species
GGGGCACUAGCUGUCAAAUUCAUGGUAACCGAUUUGACUCAAAUUCUCAUAUUUGAUUUAUAACAAUGUAAAACAUUUAUCCAAACUAUCAAAAGUCUAAAAUAAACAGUUAACAGAGCAUGGGUUAGAUAAUAUAUAGGUUCGUUUCGUGAGUAUUUUAGUCCAGACGCCAUCUAAUUAACUAUCGAUUUGACCUCAGAUGACCAUAUAAGCGAUGUAAACAAAAAUAAAGAUACGAAUAGAUUAAACCAACACGUGCAAUUGAAUUUGUAUAGGUCUGUUUGAUUUAAUUUUAUAGAUUAAAAAUAGAUGUUUCUCAUUGUUUUCAACCGUAUAAGAAUGAUUUUAUGUGCAUCGAAUUAGUAAUCAAAUGAUUUACCGUAGUUUCACUUUCAUUGUUGACAUUCUUUUUCUUUAAAUAACCAGUACACGUGCAAUGCAUGCUUUGUCAAUCUCUCGCUAGGGGUUAACUUGAAGUUCACAUGAAUACGGAUUUAAAGAGGUCGACUCAUUCAC